rnacentral:rRNA from 1 species
ACCCGUUGGCGCCGUCGCGCCGGCUCGGCUCUCUCGUUUGCUCUGCCUCGUGGAGCGGAGUGCACAGGAGGAGAGGGGGUUUAGGUGAGGCGAGAGGCGGUGCGCGGCGAGGGGGGAGGAGGAGGACGGACGGAGUGAGGAGAGCGCCAGAGCGGGGGCGGAGGCUGCGGCGGAGCUGGAGGCGUCUCGGUGAGCGAGAGCUAGGGUCGCUGGUCGCGGGCCUUCUCCCGCUCCUGCUCCUGCCCGGGCAGGUACGACUGGAGGAGCGGGCCGGGGAUCCGAGAGCUGUCGCGGUGUCCCCGCGCGCACAGCGCCUCUCUACCCCAUGGACGGCAGCGACCCGCCGUUCCGCCGCGUGGAGCAGAGNNNNNNNNNNNNNNNNNNNNNNNNNNNNNNNNNNNNNNNNNNNNNNNNNNNNNNNNNNNNNNNNNNNCUCCGGUGACUUCCCGUCCUUUUAGCAAUACCACUACUUCUUAGACUUUAAGGAUUACCGGGACUGUGUAGAAGCAAAGCUCGUAAAGACUACAGUAAAUACAGACGCAGUUCGAGAUCGUUACUAAGCUACCUCUAGUAUGGACUCGUCCUAGACCUAUACCUUAUGGGUUGAAAUUGUGGGCAACCCUCCCCUUAGUUCCUUUCCUUCCCCAACGAAUCAUCUCCGUUCGUAAGGUAACCUUUCUAAUAAUUGUUCCGUCCAUCUGAACCACCAAAGUCUGUUUUUAGGCCGGUGUAGUAACUAUUACUUUAUCGUUUAGUUUAUCUCAGUUACAGCAGGCCAAAGCGAGAGUUCCAUAGUUUCCCCAGACGAAGUUUAGUAUUCAACGGUGGAUACAGACUUGGUAGCUACGAAAAUAGUCUUUACUACGCUUUACAAGAAAUAGGUAGAGAAGGACAAGAACAAGUUCCUUUCUUGACCUACGACCAAAUGUCAUGGACCUCCGUACCCCAUAGAGAUAGAUGAGACAUGUCUUCCUCGUACGAAACGAGACCACUAAGUGAAGACUAUUAACCCCUAUUUUUCCCUCGUCAAAAACCACCAAACCAUCUCCGGGGAAACGCCGGCUAGUACGUUUCCUUCAUAGUCCCCUUGUUCUUAACGAAGCACAAGUGGUUACAUCGACCAGCGGGACAACAUAUAGCAGUUUGUCCACGAUUAUUGAUAAAGUGCAAAACGAGGGGACUCAUAAACCGUUACCCUCCACCACCAGUGAAACGUGAAAUAGAACCACUUCUGGAGGACUUACCAAGUUCAAGGUGGAGUCUUUGCAAAUUGUUGGGUACGGACCGUGAAAGGGUCCUGAAACUUCAAUUUGUACAACUCAACACCCCGAAGCAGUUACGAAGGUUCAUACUACUCUACGAGUGCCAGACGGCGUGGCUCUUUGGACCUUAAACCUUAAACACUGACAAGUGUUGAAAAGCCUUAGGAACUCUGAACUACGGUCC